rnacentral:lncRNA from 1 species
AAGAGUUAUAAUUCCAGUUAUGUCCACAUGGCCAGUUGCAGAAAUGAGGACUGUGCAAGUGCUAUUCAGUUUUUUUCUCCUUUUUUGUUUUAAAUUUAUGCUUCAUUUUAUUGUUUAUUGAAACAUUGAGACAGAGUAUUCUGACGCAUUCAGCAUCCACAAAGUCAAGUCAAUUUUAUCUGUGCUUCAAUAUUUGAUUAAUAGAAAGUUCUGUCAAGGGAUUCCCAGGGACAUCUUAGUUUGAAAUACAUCAUUAAAUGGGAUGCUGCUCAUAAAAACAUUCUUCCAAAAAUUGGCUUGCUCUUUGACCGUUUUCCUUCUCUUUUUUUAACUCUUUCUCGUUUCCCAAUCUUCUCCAUCUAACACAAGCGGAGAAGCAGGAACUACAAUUCCCAGAAUCCCUUUCCCCGUGUGGUCCAGGGUUGAAGUUUGCCAGUGAAGGCGCUCUGCGGGAUGUGAAGGUGGAAGAGAUAUCAAGGCAUAUUCUUUGGAAGUAGAUGCAGCCAGACUCUGAGUGCAUGUUGCUGCCACAGCAUGGCUUGAUGAGGGUAUAAGUUGGUGCCUGGGAUCCGAACCCACGAACCUGGGGUGCUGAAGCAGAGUGCACGAAACUUCAGCCACUCAGCCACGGGGCCAGCCGUACAAACAAUCUUUGAAUGGCCAGAGGCCUUCUCUCCACCAAGAGUGAGGUGGUAAGGGCAAGAAGGGAAGAAAUGACACUUGGUUAAGGAGCCACUGCUCAGGCGUGUCCACGGCCACCGCCAGUUCUCUUGGGCAGCCUAACAUCGGUCACAGUGGGCCCGCCUUCCUCCCUGUCUUCUGGGACCAGCCCACCCCAUCCCAGCUUCUCUGCCUGAAGCCAGUGGGUCAGUGAGGACGAGUGAGGACCCCAGACCCAGCUUGCCCACCGGUUUGUUAUGGGCUGCAGACUCUGGGUUCAAGGAGGGAAGUCAAAGGACUUUCCUUUUUACCUAACGUGUUUUAUCAGAAGUUUUGCAAGCUGGGGUUAUUGAAUAGUUUCCAGUCAUUAAUAAAGCUAACAUUUUAUUCUCCACUUGGCUCAAUUCCUCCUGUUUUCUAGCGAGAAGGACCCGGGAGGGGAAGAGCCGCAAGUGGUACGAUGGGGGCGCCGAACCCCGUCCCAAACGCCUGGCACAGAUGCUUUAUGGUCUCGUUUUGACUUUCUUUUUAGCGUCCACCACCCUGUACACAUUUUAAAUCGUAUAUAGUCAAACCUGUCAGUGUUUUCUGCUCCCGUUUUUAGGUUUCCUUCCUUAAGUCAUUUUUCAACAAGUGUCAUUUCAACACCUACGAUACACCAGAUACAGUUUCUAGUUCUGGGGAGACACCAAGAAUAACAAAACCACACAGAUUCUCGUCUCUCAUGAACUGUACGCUCUAGUCAGUUCUGGAAGGACAUUCCCACCCAAAGAUCACACAAAUAGUUGCCUGUAUUUUCUUCUAGCACUUUCAUGGUAUUAUACUGUUUUAUUUUUAGAUUUUUUUUAACCAAUUUGGAAGUUAUUUUUGUGAAUGGUGUGAGGUGGGGAACUUAACUUCCAGAUGAGAGGUAACUAUCUCAACAAUUUUGUGUGCGUGUAGUCUAUCGUUUCACCAUGAUUUGAAGUGACAUCUUGUCUUACAGUAAGUUCCCACAGAUACCUGGUUUUAUUUCAGACUCUUGGUAGGCAGCCUUCGAAUGGUUCCCGGUGGUCCCUACUUCCUGGGAACCAUGCCCUUGUGUGAUCCUCAUCCCUGGAGUGUGGGCUGGUCCUGGGGUCUCGCCUUUAACCAACAGAUUUCUGCAGGGGGGAUGGGAUGUCACUUCGGGGAUUAGCUCAUGAAAGGCUGUGACUUUCUCCUCUGGGCACUCUCUUGUUUCUCUCACUUGCUAAGUCUGGUCAAGCUGGCUGCCAUGUCAGGAACUGCUUCAUGGAUGGGCUCGUGUGUUGAGAAACUGAGGGUGGUCGGGCUCUGGCCUAUCGUCAGGGAGGAGCUGAGGCUCUUAGUUCAGCCCUCCAUGAGGGACUGAAUCCCACGUCCAGCCACUGAGUGAGAGUGGAAGAGAAUCCCGGCUCAGUUGAACCUUGAGAUGACCGUGGCCCCAGCUGGCGCCUUGACUGUGGCCUUACCAGAGAUCCUGAGCUGAGUGAGCUGAGCCACAUCUGGUCUGACCCAGAGAUGAUAAGAUGAUAAGUGGUGUUGUUUUAAGCCAGACAUCCAGCACUGUUUCCAGUCCUCUGCUCGAAGGCGGGGGCUCUUCAACCUCCCGGGCACUCUUGGAGCCUGGC